rnacentral:lncRNA from 1 species
AUGAUGCUGUUAUUUGUUCUGUCAGUAUCGUUGGUCUUCGUGUCGUCUUGUCCUGACGGGGAGUUCAGCUGCACAUCUGGAGAAUGUCUUCCUUCUGAACUCGUCUGUGAUUUUAAGGUGGAUUGUGAAGAUGGCUCUGACGAGGAGUUUUGUGGUUCGUGUGACUUUGAGGAGCACACCUGUGGUUGGAAAAACACCUCCCACCACUGGAGACGGCAGAUGGUAAACCUGACUUCAAUACCUGGACAAGACAACACCACAGGAACCCCUUGGGGUGAUUAUUAGCCUCCCGUCAUGAUCCAUUCGUACCAAUGCCGUUUCACAUCAUUGAUAAGUGUCAAUAGGUGUUUUGUUUGUUUAAGAGAUCGCCCCUUUUUUCUGCCGGAUACAGGACACGUCAUGCAUGCACAUGUCGAGGGCUUUUCAGAGGCGAAUUUGGAGUACUCUGUUGUCAAGAGGGCAGCCCCUGGAUGCCAGAUCAGGUACUUGGAAGAAUAUAUAUUCUUUAUAUAUAGAAUUCUAUAAGUAUUUGUAUAACAUAUACAAACAAACAAACACACUUAUCAGUGAUAUCACUGGAAUCUGAUUUGGAGUAGUCACACAGCCUAUGCCAGCAGUGGAUUUGAUUUUAUGAUUGGACUCUUAAUGUGUCUCAGCUUCUGGUUCUACAUUUUGGGUGGCACGCCUUCAGCAUCAUCGGGCUUAAAACUAAAAAUGGUUCGAGGCGACACGCUCAGAAAGAGUUGCUGGAGCCUCCUAUACGUCAAAAGGACAGCUGGGAGAAUGCCACAGUCUUGAUCAGUAAUCGACCAGGAGGAUACAAGGUUAGUAAAAUAUCCCGUAUGCCUUUAGACUGAACACAGGCAGAGUAAUCUGAUCUAAAACUAUGUAAGAAGUAAGGAAAGACUUUAAAUACUUUUGCGAUUAAAUA